rnacentral:lncRNA from 1 species
GGCAAAAUACUCUGUUAUCAUUGUGUGCUUCUUGGCGGAGUUCUUCUUUUGUUGAACAUUAGAAUAAAGUGGCAUCCGUUUGUCACUUCGUAGAGAGUCCUCUGCUUCCUAAGCCAUCCAGCAGAGGGUCUGGGCGAGCUUCAUCUUGGUUUUGCUAGCAGCCUCUACCCAGCACCGCAGCGAUCACUCAGCGCCUCCGCCGGACGACCUCACCAGGUGUCAUUGCUGGAUGUCUCACACCCAGGAUCCCAUGCAUCACAGUCCAGCUACACAGCUCAGAAGCAAUAUCAGCCCUGUGGCUACAAAGGCUAUGUCAUGAAGGCCUUCUGGUUCUCAGAUUGUGACUUGAACUGGGAGUUAAAGGAUCUGAGCUUGGCAUUUUCUUUCUGAGUAAGACUGA